rnacentral:rRNA from 1 species
UACGUAGGGUGCAAGCGUUGUCCGGAAUUAUUGGGCGUAAAGAGUUCGUAGGCGGUUUGUCGCGUCCGUUGUGAAAGCUUGGGGCUCAACCCCAAGUCUGCAGUGGAUACGGGCGGCCUCGAGGGGGGUAGGGGCAUCUGGAACUGUGAGUGGAGCGGUGAAAUGCGUUGAUAUUCACAGGAACUCCGGUGGCGAAGGCGAGGUGCUGGACCCCUUCUGACGCUGAGGCGCGAAAGCCAGGGGAGCGAACGGG